CUUUGACCUUAGCUGCAGAAGAAGCACCGGCCUAAUUCCGUGCCAGCAGCCGCGGUAAUACGGAGGGUGCGAGCGUUAAUCGGAAUUACUGGGCGUAAAGCGCAUGCAGGCGGCGUGUUAAGCCAGAUGUGAAAGCCCGGGGCUCAACCUCGGAAUCGCAUUUGGAACCGGCAUGCUAGAGUCUUGUAGAGGGGGGUAGAAUUUCAGGUGUAGCGGUGAAAUGCGUAGAGAUCUGAAGGAAUACCGGUGGCGAAGGCGGCCCCCUGGACAAAGACUGACGCUCAGAUGCGAAAGCGUGGGGAGCAAACAGGAUUAGAUACCCUGGUAGUCCACGCCGUAAACGAUGUCUACUUGGAGGUUGGUGUCUUGAACACUGGCUUUCGGAGCUAACGCGUUAAGUAGACCGCCUGGGGAGUACGGUCGCAAGAUUAAAACUCAAAUGAAUUGACGGGGGCCCGCACAAGCGGUGGAGCAUGUGGUUUAAUUCGAUGCAACGCGAAGAACCUUACCUACUCUUGACAUCCAGAGAACUUUCCAGAGAUGGAUUGGUGCCUUCGGGAACUCUGAGACAGGUGCUGCAUGGCUGUCGUCAGCUCGUGUUGUGAAAUGUUGGGUUAAGUCCCGCAACGAGCGCAACCCUUAUCCUUGUUUGCCAGCACUUCGGGUGGGAACUCCAGGGAGACUGCCGGUGAUAAACCGGAGGAAGGUGGGGACGACGUCAAGUCAUCAUGGCCCUUACGAGUAGGGCUACACACGUGCUACAAUGGCGUAUACAGAGGGCUGCGAGCUAGCGAUAGUGAGCGAAUCCCACAAAGUACGUCGUAGUCCGGAUUGGAGUCUGCAACUCGACUCCAUGAAGUCGGAAUCGCUAGUAAUCGUGGAUCAGAAUGCCACGGUGAAUACGUUCCCGGGCCUUGUACACACCGCCCGUCACACCAUGGGAGUGGGCUGCACCAGAAGUAGAUAGCUUAACCUCGGGAGGGCGUUACCAUCGUUGUUCG
rnacentral:rRNA from 1 species